GGGUUAGCUUAGUGGUUAAAGCUUAGGUCUUGAGACCGGAGGGUCUCGGGAUCAAAUCCCGGUAGAGGCA
rnacentral:tRNA from 1 species